CUAUCCUUUACUUUAGAAAAAAAAAAGUGUCUUGUCUUUGCCCACGAUAACUCUCAUUGGAGAGAUCCGACUUUCUUCAGACAUUUUCCCUCUGAUUAUGAAGUGUGUAUGCCAAUGACUAGGCCUCUACGGCUCUACCUACACAAAUGGAUGGAUCAAUAGCCAUUGUACCAAUGGAUUUGAUGUUUGUCAACUUUCUGGGUCUACACUUCCUGUGGUGAACCUUCUCAAGAAUUGCAUUAUUUGCCCACCCAGGUUCAGAUAUUGACCAGAGCCUAGCCUGACAAUGGACAUGGCCCUACAGCGGAUAAAACAAUAGGAGUGGAAAUCGGUGGCUGUCACGCUAGCAGCGUAUCUCCCUGCCUGAGUUGCUGCUGCCUUGUACACAGGAUGUUUGGGUGACUGUGCGGGGGCCAAGUUUAUCAGACUAAAAAAAAACUGGGCCUGCUGGAGGAACCAUCCAUCGCUGCUGCUACUACGCCUCUUUCAAAAGUUCAAAGGUCAUGGUUCAACCAAGUGUAGAAGGGGAAUGUAUGAAACAGAUAGAUGGUGCCAUGCUUGUAAUAUGAAUCAUCAUCAGCAUCAUCUUCAUCAUCAUCAUCAUCAUUGACAGCAUCACCUCCACCGACACCAUCAUCAACAUCAAGCCCAGUUUUGUUUUCCAGUACUUCCUAUUGUUUUGUCUUUAAUGAAUGGGAGGAAGAUGCAAAGAUGCUAGCUGGAUUCCUAGUCAAAGAUUCUGCUCUUGACUAUCAAGAAGGAAAUCGUAUUAUUCCCAGAUCUAAGAUUUCGAAGCGGCAUGAUUGCUUAAUAGUUCAUCAAGCAGUGUGGUAAGUGCC